CUGUUUACGUGUUCCUACCAAGAGAGCAGUGUUGAGCCCCUAGUGCCUUCUGUUUCAGCAUCAGGGAAGAGCCAAGAGGAGGAAAGGUGGGACUCUGAAAGGGUGGAAAACUUGCCAGAGAGAAGUAGGGGAGGCAAGAAAGAUGCUUUCUCUUCUGUAAAGCCCACUAGGCCGGUGUCAUGAUACCAUCCACUUUCAUCAACUAUUAUGUCCAGAUCCCUUCUGUGACGUAUGUAACAGCACA